CCUACGGGGCGCAGCAGUGAGGAAUAUUGGUCAAUGGGCGCGAGCCUGAACCAGCCAAGUAGCGUGAAGGAUGACUGCCCUACGGGUUGUAAACUUCUUUUAUAAAGGAAUAAAGUGAGGCACGGGUGCGUUUUUGUAUGUACUUUAUGAAUAAGGAUCGGCUAACGCCGUGCCAUCAGCCGCGGUAAUACGGAGGAUCCGAGCGUUAUCCGGAUUUAUUGGGUUUAAAGGGAGCGUAGAUGGGUUGUUAAGUCAGUUGUGAAAGUUUGGGGCUCAACCGUAAAAUUGCAAUUGAUACUGGCAGCCUUGAGUACAGUAGAGGGAGGCGGAAUUCGUGGUGUAGCGGUGAAAUGCUUAGAUAUCACGAAGAACUCCGAUUGCGAAGGCAGCUUACUAAACUGCCACUGACGUUGAUGCUCGAAAGUGUGGGUAUCAAACAGGAUUAGAUACCCCGGUAGUC
rnacentral:rRNA from 1 species